rnacentral:rRNA from 1 species
UACGUAGGGGGCUAGCGUUGUCCGGAAUCAUUGGGCGUAAAGCGCGUGUAGGCGGUCCGGUAAGUCCGCUGUGAAAGUCCAGGGCUCAACCCUGGAAUGCCGGUGGAAACUGUCGAGCUAGAGUCCGGAAGAGGCGAGUGGAAUUCCUGGUGUAGCGGUGAAAUGCGCAGAUAUCAGGAGGAACACCAAUGGCGAAGGCAGCUCGCUGGGACGGUACUGACGCUGAGACGCGAAGCGUGGGGAGCAAACAGG